AUUUUUAAUGUUUACAAAAAUGUAUAAUCUUAUGAGGUCUGGUCAAAAGGGAAAGUACGUUUGAAUGGCUGCUGAAAAUAUUGAGUUAAAAAAUUUACCUUAAAUAUUAAAGGGAACCCCUGUGUGUGAAAUUUUGAAAAAAUUAAAUUUUGAUUGCUUGCAUGCUUUGAUAGUCAAUACCUUUUAAAAUGCUAUACUAAAUCAGUGGUGCUUUUAAAUACCUAAAAAUCGGUUCUUUAGGCUGUCACAUUAGGUGUGCUCUUUACUAAGCUGACGGUGCGACACAAAACGUUUACUUUAGUGGUGCCUGCAAUUUCAAGAAGUCCAAGAAUCCAAGAAUAACCACCCUCGGUCUAGAAGUCUCCACAAUCGAAAACGUUGAGAAAAUAUGGAAACUUGUACGAACAUUCAAAAUCGGUGAAAUGACAAUAAAUACAACCCUGAGUCGUUAUAAUUGCCGACUAUAGGCCAUAUACCCAGUCUAA